UUAGGUCGAGCUUCAUUGGAA
rnacentral:siRNA from 1 species